GAGGCUGGCCCGUGCGGCGAAUCAGAGAGCGGGGACCCUCGCAGCUUUACCAAUGCCCAAUCCCGUGCGAGCUCAGGUAGUUGUCUAGCCAAUCAAGAGAAUGGAGGACUUCAGUGCAAGACAGAGCGCAGAACAACCAAUCAAAAGCCACAGGGAGCAAGCCAGUAUGCAGCCUCUGCCCAGAGCUUCAUCAGUUCCUACUUCCAGGCUCCUGCCCUCACUGCUGUUGAUGAUGACCUAUGAUAUGGAACUGUGAGUGAAAUAAACCCUCUCCUGCCCACA